rnacentral:tRNA from 1 species
GGAUUUGGCUCAGUGGUAGAGCACUUGCCUAGCAAGCAUAAGGCCCUGGGUUCAGUCCCCAGGUCCG